UAGUCCACGCCGUAAACGAUGAUAACUAGCUGCUAGGGCCCACAGGGCUUUGGUGGCGCAGCUAACGCAUUAAGUUAUCCGCCUGGGGAGUACGGUCGCAAGAUUAAAACUCAAAGGAAUUGACGGGGGCCUGCACAAGCGGUGGAGCAUGUGGUUUAAUUCGACGCAACGCGAAGAACCUUACCAACCCUUGACAUCCCAAUUAUGGAUAGUGGAGACACUUUUCGUCAGUCCGGCUGGAUUGGUGACAGGUGCUGCAUGGCUGUCGUCAGCUCGUGUCGUGAGAUGUUGGGUUAAGUCCCGCAACGAGCGCAACCCUUACCCUUAUUUGCCAACAGGUUAUGCUGGGAACUAUAGGGGAACUGCCGGUGACAAACCGGAGGAAGGCGGGGAUGACGUCAAGUCCUCAUGGCCCUUACGGGUUGGGCUACACACGUGCUACAAUGGUGACUACAAUGGGCCGCUACUCCGCGAGGAGGCGCUAAUCUCAAAAAGUCAUCUUAGUUCGGAUUGCACU
rnacentral:rRNA from 1 species